UACAGAGGGUGCGAGCGUUAAUCGGAAUGACUGGGCGUAAAGGGCGUGUAGGCGGUUAUCCAAGUUAGCUGUGAAAGGCCAGUGCUUAACACUGGGAAGCCAGCUAAGACUGGAAAGCUAGAGAGCAGUAGAGGGUAGUGGAAUUUCCGGUGUAGCGGUGAAAUGCGUAGAGAUCGGAAAGAACAUCAGUGGCGAAGGCGACUAUCUGGACUGCAACUGACGCUGAGGCGCGAGAGCGUGGGGAGCAAAC
rnacentral:rRNA from 1 species